rnacentral:lncRNA from 1 species
AUUUAAACAUUAUUUUUGGCUACAGACAUUGUAAUGUAUUAAAAAAUGAGCAGUAACAAGAAUAAACUUUAGAAAGGUAUUAUCAUUAAGAGAGUGCCUAAGGCCCUCAUCACCAGCAGACUCUACCUGUGCAAAUCUUAACUGACAUCUGUCCACUUAACAAGGCUUUUGAACAAAAUUGUGCUUAUUCCCGAGCAACAGUUACUGAGACACAGCUUCUGGGUUUUAAUUUCACACCCUACCUUAAUAAGAAAUUAAAGCACAAACAACACUUGGUUGUGCUGGGGCUGCUCAGGGCCUGCACUCUCUGGGCCUGCAAACAAGAAGGGCUCUGGGUCGGGCCCACCACUAUUCGCAGAAAGCCGAUUUAAGCUCUGCAAAGGACUCGUGGGUAGAACUGCCAAGCUGUGCUGGAGAACGAUCCCUUCAGGCCGGCCUCCUGCCCUGCGGCUCAGGGCUUGCAGGUGCUGGUGGGGGCAGCGGGCUGCUCCCCUCACCGCCGGCCGCCAUUUGCUCCCCUCUGAGGUGUGUCCGCCACCAAGGGGAAACCUCCAGCCCCACAGCCCGAGGCCUCCUCUGGAGCCCCUCAAGAAACCACACGAGGAAGACCACGUGGAAGAAGAGAGGUGCAAGGUCCUCACCAGAGCCUCUCUCAGUCUCCAUCCAUGUGCGAAAGCAAGCGACAACAGCACAUCUGAGAGACACCGUGCAUUCACCGCAGCGUCGGUGGGCUGCGGGCCGGCUAUGGCCGAGGGCUUCUGAAAAUGCUCCUCUGGCAGCCCAGCUGUGCCUAUUCAUCAUCUUCUGCUUCAUGGCCUUACUGGAACAGGAAGAAACAAAGGAAAAAAUAGCCCAUCAGAACUCAUCUCUGGCAGCAGACAGUCUCUCCUGAACUGCUACAGUGGCUUUCAUCUCUCUACGAACACUGUGCCACUGCUGGGGGAAGAGAUAGUGUUAGAGAACAGAAAAAAAAUAAAAUUACACACACAACUGUGCUCAACGGUGCCAAAUCUGACUAACCAUUGCUGGUUAAAGAGGCAAAGUUUCUCAGGCUUCCCUGUAAGGUCACAGCUGGUACUUCUAUGAAUUUUCUUAUUACAUGGGAACGAGGCAGAGGUUCAUAGAGAGAGACAGAUGGCGAGGAGCAAUGUUACUUAUCCUAAUGUGCAUGUGAGACAAAGAGCUUUUUGGCAUACCUCUCAAGCUGAGUCUUAGGGCAGCCGAUCCACGCCAAGCGUUUUCCUCCCUCCAGCUUUUAUUCCUCCCCUCAGCCAGUCUGAUCCCACUUGCCUUCAGUGUUUACGUGAAUCACACUAGAUGUUUUCCUGAGAUUUAGGCUCUGAUGAGCAAGGCCAGCAAAAACUAGAGCAACAAACAAACAAGCCGACCCCAGCCAAGCUUGCCCACCUCUGCACAUUUGCAUCCACGUAGGGCACCCCUCCGCCUACCAAACCGCCGCAAGGAGGAAAGCGAGCGUGGUGGCAAGUGGGAACGGGCAGCCCCAGGGAGAAAGAUUUGGGAUUCAG